GAAAAAGCUAUUUUACUAAGCAUAAGCGCCACGUUGUUUUAAUCUACGUUGAUGUCAGGUCAGCAUUUAUUUUUUAAUUUUUUAAAACGAUUCAAUCAGAUGAUAGAUAGAUAAAGUAGCUGAUCAAAAACAAGAAUGUUCCAUAACAGCUGGCUGGCUCCGCUGACUGUUGGAUCUUCAUACUGAUGCAGAGCAGUUCAGAGGUUUGGUGAGAGAGCUGAUGUUCCUCCAACUGAAAGACGAAGACCAAAGAAAGCUCUUCUUUAGCAUCCACAUCACCACAUAACACUAAUAGCAAUUCUAUGCAUAUGACUUUGGAGCCCUCUAGAUGUGGAAUUCACUGUCGUAAAUAAUGAGCAGACGUACCUUCAUGUGUGAGUGUGGGAAAUAAAAUAUAAGUUAUUAGCGGGCAGAGUAUCAUCAAUAUCGUUUUGAAACUGAUAUUUCAUGGCAACAAAAAAAAAACGUCUUAAGAACAUUAGUAGUAAUCUAUUAAAAAAA